CAGCACCUCAAGUGGUCAGGAUGAUUAUUAGGCCUAAAGCAUCCGUAGCCGGCUCUGUAAGUUUUCGGUUAAAUCUGUACGCUCAACGUACAGGCUGCCGGGAAUACUGCAGAGCUAGGGAGUGGGAGAGGUAGACGGUACUCGGUAGGAAGGGGUAAAAUCCUUUGAUCUAUUGAUGACCACCUGUGGCGAAGGCGGUCUACCAGAACACGUCCGACGGUGAGGGAUGAAAGCUGGGGGAGCAAACCGGAUUAGAGACCCGAGUAGUCC
rnacentral:rRNA from 1 species